UGGGGAAUAUUGGACAAUGGGGGCAACCCUGAUCCAGCGAUGCCGCGUGAGUGAAGAAGGUCUUAGGAUUGUAAAGCUCUUUUGACAGGGAAGAUAAUGACGGUACCUGUAGAAUAAGCACCGGCUAACUCUGUGCCAGCAGCCGCGGUAAUACAGAGGGUGCAAGCGUUGUUCGGAAUUACUGGGCGUAAAGGGCGUGUAGGCGGUAAUAUAAGUCAGAUGUUAAAGACCAGGGCUUAACCUUGGGAGUGCAUAUGAUACUGUAUAACUAGAGUGCAAGAGGGGAGAAUGGAAUUUCCGGUGUAGAGGUAAAAUUCGUAGAUAUCGGAAGGAACACCAGUGGCGAAGGCGAUUCUCUGGAUUGUAACUGACGCUGAGGCGCGAAAGUAUGGGGAGCAAACAGG
rnacentral:rRNA from 1 species